rnacentral:sRNA from 1 species
GUGUGAGGCCCAAGGAUCACUCAUGCUUCCAGACUGCACAGAGCACUGUUGGAUCUAGCUGAACGAAUUGUUUUCUCUGUCUCUGAAAACAGAAGCAGUUAUGACUUACAUCAACUCUGAAAAAUAAGAAUGCAUCCUUGGAAUCAGAAAAUACAAACCCUGAAAGUGAAGUACAAGAGCUUCAUUAGUAACAUAACGAAUGAAUUAUAACAAUAAAUGAAAAACAAACUAAUAUCAAUGAGGAUGACAAAACUUGCUACUUUUCCUAAUAGAGGGAAAGGAUAGUUUAGAGAUAGUUGCAAAGCAGAUUAAGACAUGAAGAGUAGAACAUCUGCCAAAAAGGCAAGCCAAAGUUUAAAAGAACAACAAAAACAAACAAAUAAUUAUUUGUUCCUUAAAAAUCUGCUUUGGUGCCCUUGAUAACAAAAUGUAUGAUAUAUGUUUGAUAGCACAGGUUGGUCAGAGAAACUUUAGUAAGGUAUGAGAAAAGAACAUACACAGC